CAGCAGCCGCGGUAAUACGAAGGGGGCUAGCGUUGUUCGGAUUUACUGGGCGUAUAGAGUUCGUAGGCGGUUUGUCGCGUCGUUUGUGAAAACCAGCAGCUCAACUGCUGGCUUGCAGGCGAUACGGGCAGACUUGAGUACCGCAGGGGAGACUGGAAUUCCUGGUGUAGCGGUGAAAUGCGCAGAUAUCAGGAGGAACACCGGUGGCGAAGGCGGGUCUCUGGGCAGUAACUGACGCUGAGGAACGAAAGCGUGGGUAGCGAACAGGAUUAGAUACCCUGGUAGUCCACGCCGUAAACGGUGGGCGCUAGGUGUGGGUUCCUUCCACGGAAUCCGUGCCGUAGCUAACGCAUUAAGCGCCCCGCCUGGGGAGU
rnacentral:rRNA from 1 species